rnacentral:rRNA from 1 species
AUUGAACGCUGGCGGCAUGCUUUACACAUGCAAGUCGAACGGUAACAGGCCUUCGGGUGCUGACGAGUGGCGAACGGGUGAGUAAUGCAUCGGAACGUACCCAGAGGUGGGGGAUAACGCAGCGAAAGCUGUGCUAAUACCGCAUGUGGUCUGAGGAUGAAAGCGGGGGACCGAGCAGCAAUGUUUGGCCUCGCGCCUUUGGAGCGGCCGAUGUCGGAUUAGCUAGUUGGUGGGGUAAAGGCCUACCAAGGCGACGAUCCGUAGCUGGUCUGAGAGGACGACCAGCCACACUGGGACUGAGACACGGCCCAGACUCCUACGGGAGGCAGCAGUGGGGAAUUUUGGACAAUGGGCGCAAGCCUGAUCCAGCAAUGCCGCGUGCGGGAAGAAGGCCUUCGGGUUGUAAACCGCUUUUGGCAGGAACGAAACGGUGUCCGCUAAUACCGGGCGCUAAUGACGGUACCUGCAGAAUAAGCACCGGCUAACUACGUG